AUGCUCACUUCAGCACCACUCAUACUAAAAUUGGAGCAAUACAGAGACAAUUAGUAUGGUUUCUGUGAAGGAUAACAUGCAAAUUCAUGAAGUGUUCUAUAUUUUU